AGUGAACGCUGGCGGUAGGCCUAACACAUGCAAGUCGAACGGCAGCACAGUAAGAGCUUGCUCUUACGGGUGGCGAGUGGCGGACGGGUGAGGAAUACAUCGUAAUCUACUUUUUCGUGGGGGAUAACGUAGGGAAACUUACGCUAAUACCGCAUACGACCUACGGGUGAAAGCAGGGGAUCUUCGGACCUUGCGCGAUUGAAUGAGCCGAUGUCGGAUUAGCUAGUUGGCGGGGUAAAGGCCCACCAAGGCGACGAUCCGUAGCUGGUCUGAGAGGAUGAUCAGCCACACUGGAACUGAGACACGGUCCAGACUCCUACGGGAGGCAGCAGUGGGGAAUAUUGGACAAUGGGCGCAAGCCUGAUCCAGCCAUGCCGCGUGGGUGAAGAAGGCCUUCGGGUUGUAAAGCCCUUUUGUUGGGAAAGAAAAGCAGCAGGUUAAUACCCCGCUGUUCUGACGGUACCCAAAGAAUAAGCACCGGCUAACUUCGUG
rnacentral:rRNA from 1 species